AUGUGCUACACGGUUUGAAAAUGCAGGUCGUGUCAUGCUUUGAAAAAAAUCAUUUUAUACUCGAAUUUGGUGGAAAAUGUCGGACCCUAAACGUGCUACGCUCAUAACAGUGGGUGCUACAAAAAGUGAGAAAAAAAUAGUGAAUAAAACAGUGAGACUUAACAUAAAUUUGGUUGAAAGCAACGAAAGUAAAUAUCCGGAGCUGAAUUACAAGGAACUAGUCAUUGCAGAAGAAAGAAAGAAGGAAAGGAGCAAAGUAGAGAAUGGCAAGACCGAAGGACUGAAUCCAUUCUCAGACAAUGAUGAUGACGUGGAAAGAGUGGCGAGGAAGUUUGAGCAGAAAUAUGGUGGCAAGAGCACAUACGGGCGCAAAGGCCGAUCCAAGCAUGAUGACUUUGCUGAUAUCGGAGCGGGCUACGAUGAAAACGACUCCUUCAUUGACAAUACGGAUGGGUACGAUGAGAUGAUACCGCCGGAAUGCGACACGUUCUAUGGAGGCUUCUACAUCAACAGCGGAUCUCUGGAGUUCAAGAACGUGGAACACCCGUCGUAUGAAGAUGAACCCCGUGGGAGGAGGAAUAAGAGGCGAAUCUCAUCAAGCAGCAGCGAGGAGGAUUCAUCGGAGAGCUCAUCAGAAUCGGAGAGCCAGGACGAGAAGGACGCAGCUAAAACUAUCGCUAAUGGCGCCGUCGAUUCGCAUAAGACUGAACAUCGGAAAAAGAAAAACAAAACCGUCGAUAUGAAAAAGGCUAAGAAGAUCCGCAGGACAGAUUCCUCCGCCGCCACUUCUGGAAAACAAACAUCUGAUGACAACGCACACGGAGACGGCGAGAGCGAUUCGCGGACGUCACAAUCUGACUCACUCACGUCAAAGCCCAACCCUAGUUCUGAAAACGCCAUCACUUCCGAUAGUUCCCGAGAUGUAGAGGCGAAAUCUGAAGUGAAGUUGCCGCCACUGGUGGCGACGAUACUCGACGAGUUAGAAGCGAUGGUCAGCCGGCAGAUGGCUGACAAACCCAACGCCACGCAUAAGGAGAUUGAGGCGCGAGCUGAGCCGCUGGUUGUCAGGCUAGAACAGAUCCUCACGAAGUGUUCAGCCGAGCAGCGCGUGCGCCGCGUGUCGUGGACGCGGGCGGCGCGGACGCUCAACGUGUCGCGCGCUAAGCUGCUGCACAAGGUCAAAGCCUUAGCCGCCACCGACAACAGGAAUGACCAUCCGCCAACUACCUCCCAACCUCCUGCCAACUCCACACCAGCAGCUGCGCAACCUGUCAGCAAGCACAAGAUUGAUGAUGGCCUUGGUGACUUCGACCCCGCGAGGCUUACUGACGCCGAGAGAGAGGCCAAAAUUGUUGAUACUUUACACAGGUUAAAAGUGCUGAUAGAGGAACGCAAGCCGGACAUGAUGGCGAAUUACAACGCCGAAUGUGAAAGAGUUCAGGAAGAGAGGAAAAAGAUCCAAAUCGCGUCAGCAGCGGAGGGGGCCCCAGUGGUGGAGAAGCGUCUUCCCAAACGUCGGUUCCCGUGGUGCCCGCGCAGCAGGGCGCUGUUGGCCACCCUGGUGCGGCUGGCGGGGAACCAGGACGCAGCCGCGCUGCUGCUGGCCGUGCGGGCCCUGCCGCUGUUCCCCACCGGCUUCGUCAGGAUGCCCACCCUGCUACGACAGGCCGACCUCAGCAAAGAAAUAAAAGUGACAGAUGUGAAACGGCAGCGAUUAAACUCUACAUCACAACCGGCUGCUGCGCCCACAAGCGUCAUACAACCGCCGCAAAACUUCCCCGAACCCAUACACUUCCCCAGCUCUCUCACUGUCACCACUAUGAAGAAUACACUCGACAAAACAGAAUUGUCCACCGUUACAGAUGAAAAGGACAAACACAAAUCAACAUCCAUAUUCGGCAACAUUAUCAACACAUUCUCCCUAAGCAGAGACCUAGUAGUUGUAGAGAAGGAUGAUAGAAACAAAGAAGUUAUAGAGAAAAAAGAAGAAAUGUACAUUCCUCCAAACAAUAUUGGCAGUAUAACUAUUACGCCUGUGCCUAGUAGUCUGCCGAAGAUAGAUAAAAAAGUCAAUAAUACAUCAGAUAAGCAACAAAAGGAAGGUUUGAUCCGGAUAAAGUCGCCAGCAGCAUUGAAUGAGAUGAUUCAUAAGCAAGAAAAAGUGAAAGCGUUAGAGAAUAUACAUAAAAGAGACAAGGAUAAGCAUAAAGACAGGAAGGAAAAGAACCACAACAAUUCCGUCAAAGAGAAAUUGGACACUCCGUUACACAUAGAUACAAGUUACCAGCCGAAGCCUAAAGAACCGACUCCAAGCCCAAAGACUAAGGAAGAAAUCACUCAGAAACAGAUUGAAAACAUGAGGGUGGUUGAGAAUAACAUACCUAGGCCUGGGUUGGUGCCCGUUCAUCACUCCCCAACCUUUGCAAAACCUGACAAACGGCCUCCGGACCUGAAAAAGAAGAAGGAUUUGGUGAUAGUGUCUGACGUUGAUCCGUUAGGUGACAUACAAACGGAGCCACUUUCAGUGGAUGAUAGCAGUAGUGACGUUGAAGUGGUCGAAGAAAAAAGUGAUAAAAGUGAUUCAGUGCCUUCUAAAGACAAAGUGAGUGUGCGUGAAGUGAAUCACAAGAAAGAUUCAAAAGACAAUAAAAGGGACAAUGAAAAACGUAGUGAUAAGAUGGAUGAGGCAACAAAAGAAGAUUUCGAUUCCGUCAUGAAGAACCUAAGGGAUUUGGAGCAUUCUCAAGAAGCACCAAAAUUCAACAGUUCCUAUGGCGGAGUUAUAACCAGUGCUAAACGCGAGAAGAGUACCAGUCAGUCGUACAACUCACGGAGUACAAUAUUUGGAGAUUCUCGCUCAGACAAAGACAAGUUGUUGACGUCACAAAAUCCAGUCUACAGUUAUAUUAUGAAAUGAAAAUAUGAGCGUUGUUGAAUCGAUAGUCUAUAGUCCACACGGGGCUCUCAACUUGUUGUUUAUGAAUGCAAUGCUCCAAUUGGGAUUAUCAUGCAGGGUCAACCUCUUCGACCAAUAAACGCAGCGAAUGCUGCUGUAGAUAGACGUUGAGCGGCUAUUGGUCGAAGCCUUCGGUAUAAUCCGCACCGCAGUUCAUAUAAAAAAGCAAUAUAUUGCUAUUUGACAUUUGUUGGCAUCGCCCAUUUACUUUUAUAUGUACAAAUAUCAAAAUUGCUAUAUAUUGUUUUUUAGAUGAAUUGCAAUGUGGCCUUUUACCCACUGUCAUAAAUCAAAAUCAAAUUCAAUCUCAAAAGUCAAUCAAAUCAAAUUCAUUCUAUAACGUAGGUCGUAGAAAAUCAAUUUUACUUUACUUUUAUUUUAACUUAUUAGUCUUAUUACUAUCGGCCCAUUUACGGUAAUGCUCUUCGGCCAAGUAGUAUGUUAUCUGAAGCAAAUCUAUUGUCACGUCGAAAAAAAUGGUUAUCCUCUAGGGAUAAUUAUUGUCUUUUCUUUUUUAGAGAAUAAGUUGCCUUCGUUAAACGUUCUAAUUUCAUGGACGAUGUGAUGAAGCCGAUUUCGGCUUCGGUGACUGCUUCAACUCCGACGUUCAUGUGCUCGCAUGUGGCUUAUAUAGCCAAUCUUAUUGGAAAACAUCCUCGCACAUAGCGGGCAUGUGUGCACACCAUUUAAAUUUGUAUAAUUGAUUGAUUAAGCGCCGUCGAUGUUCAAAGUCAUGAACUUUGGUGUGAACCAUUUCAUGGAUAACAGACGUACACAAUUUAACUUUGUUUUUGAAUAUAAAUGAUGACCCUUGUUAUUACACGCAGGCACAACACAUCUUCCACCCAUUAUUAUUCUGUUCAAAACAAAGAGAAGCAUCAUAGGUAGCGACGUUUCUAUACUAUAUCUGAUCCAAAUAUCAAGCAACUACUAUUUUGAUAUACGCCUCUGCCAUACAUUAUAUGUUUAGUAGGUAAUUACGUUACAUCUGUACAACGCCAUCUACAUUGAUUUUGGCGAAUGUAGCUACAUUACAAGCUUGUACCCUCAUUAUACCAAUCCCAUAAUCAAUAAUGACGAAUUAAAUUUACCUAAAUGAAAUUGCAUUUAUAAACACAAGUGUAACACCACUCUUGUUGUACACUAUACAUUUUAGGUUUGUAUAGAACACUGUAUUUUGCAUGGUAUAAGAAAACCAGGUAUGCUCAAAAGUGACAGCUAACAUUUCAAGGUUAGCCCAGCUGACGUCAUCCCACCCUGUCUUGCCAUUUUGUAAAAAAUAAAUUACCCACGACAUGUUUUUAUGUAUACUUUGCAAGGAAAUUUUGAACUUUUUGUAAAAGAUUUACUUACAGUGUUAAUGAUUUUUAUUAAUUAAAUAGAUUAGUAAUUCGCUUAAUUUCCAAUAAUAAAAUUUACGUCGUUAGAAUGUUGGAGAUACCCAAUUUAAUGGUAACACAGUGGUAACACUUACGUCAUCAAUGAGCUAGCAAUGGCGGCUUGUCAUAGGAUUGAGCAUACCUGGUCUUCUUAUACCAUGGUAUUUUGUAUAAAUAACUAUGGUAUAGUAUUUUUACGUUCGUGUAACUAAAUACUGCUCCACAUCACCAAAAAAUGUAUUAAAAUAAUUUUUCAAAAGUAGAAAACGUAGACUGAAUCUAUAUAUCUAAGAUUUUUUGCGUUUGUAAUGUAGUAACGAUUUUUAUACACGAUUUUGUAAAUACGCUUAAGAAAUUGUGAGUGAAGCAAUAAUUGAUGUUAGAGUUCAUUUUCUUUUUCAAGCGGCAACAUUAAAGGUGAUUACGCUACACGAUUGGUGCAGAAACCAGUGUUGCCAUUUAAUGGUAAGAAAUUGUACCAUUUACAGUAAAAAUCACACACAAAGAAGUCCAUUUUGACAGCUGUCAAACUCAUCGCAUACUACCCCGGACACUGCAUACAAAAAUUGUAUUCUUACAGUGUGCGCGCAAAUGCGCGAACGAGACAGGCAGUCAGCGCGCUCUCCUUAUUCCUUAGCGACUUACAGCCAUUUAAAAGUAAGCCCCAGAGGGGGUGAGAUCAACGCCUAAUACGAAUUGGUGCGGGGCAGAGAGUUAUCGUUCCAUUCGUAGUAUUGUUUAUUCUAUGCUUAUAGUAAACGAAAACCAGUAUGGGGAAUUAAACCUUAAGAAAACGUCACAAUGGACUUGACUUGUGACUGUUACUUUAUCUUUUUAAAAUGAGUGAGCAGGGACGUUACAAUGGCCACAUCGAAGCAAUUCAUCUGUUAUUUGACAUUUGUUUGCAUUGCGCACUUUAUUUUUUAUGCGCAAAUGUCAAAUUGCUUUCUUUGAUGAAUUGCUUCGAUGUUGCCAUUUUAACCUCCCUGUAUAUUUUAGCAACAAGUUUGUUUAUUAUUUUAAAUCUGAAUUGUUUAAGUGGAGCAGUAAAUUAUUUUAUUACAUAAAGUUACUGUGAGAGUUAUGUUAGGUUUUAUUUAUUAAGCUCCUAUUGGUUCCAAAUACCUAAUUAUGAGGAUGUACGUAUUGAAAGAUUUUAAUCCAAAUUCCAAAUUAAGCCCAAUGUAUAAUUAUGAAUAAUAAAUAUUUAUAAUAAAUAGA
rnacentral:misc_RNA from 1 species